CUGAGUACGGCGGAACACGUGAAAUUCCGUCGGAAUCCGGGAGGACCAUCUCCCAAGGCUAAAUACUCCCUAGUGACCGAUAGUGAACCAGUACCGUGAGGGAAAGGUGAAAAGCACCCCGGAAGGGGAGUGAAACAGUUCCUGAAACCGUGUGCCUACAAGUAGUUAGAGCCCGUUAAUGGGUGAUAGCGUGCCUUUUGUAGAAUGAACCGGCGAGUUACGAUUUGUUGCAAGGUUAAGCGGAAAAAGCGGAGCCGUAGCGAAAGCGAGUCUGAAUAGGGCGCAUAAGUAACAGGUCGUAGACCCGAAACCAGGUGAUCUACCCAUGUCCAGGAUGAAGGUAAGGUAAUACUUACUGGAGGUCCGAACCCACGCACGUUGAAAAGUGCGGGGAUGAGGUGUGGGUAGCGGAGAAAUUCCAAUCGAACUUGGAGAUAGCUGGUUCUCUCCGAAAUAGCUUUAGGGCUAGCCUCGAGGUAAAGAGUCAUGGAGGUAGAGCACUGUUUGGACUAGGGGCCCUUCUCGGGUUACCGAAUUCAGAUAAACUCCGAAUGCCAUGUACUUAUACUCGGGAGUCAGACUGCGAGUGAUAAGAUCCGUAGUCGAAAGGGAAACAGCCCAGACCACCAGUUAAGGUCCCCAAAUAUAUGUUAAGUGGAAAAGGAUGUGGGGUUGCUUAGACAACCAGGAUGUUGGCUUAGAAGCAGCCACCAUUGAAAGAGUGCGUAAUAGCUCACUGGUCGAGUGACCCCGCGCCGAAAAUGUACCGGGGCUAAACAUAUUACCGAAACUGUGGAUGAACCUCUUUAGAGGUUCGUGGUAGGAGAGCGUUCUAAGGGCGGUGAAGUCAGACCGGAAGGACUGGUGGAGCGCUUAGAAGUGAGAAUGCCGGUAUGAGUAGCGAAAGAAGGGUGAGAAUCCCUUCCACCGAAUAUCUAAGGUUUCCUGAGGAAGGCUCGUCCGCUCAGGGUUAGUCGGGACCUAAGCCGAGGCCGAUAGGCGUAGGCGAUGGACAACAGGUAGAGAUUCCUGUACCAGUGCUAAUUGUUUAACCGAUGGGGUGACACAGAAGGAUAGGGAAUCGCACGAAUGGAAAUGUGCGUCCAAGCAGUGAGUGUGAGAAGUAGGCAAAUCCGCUUCUCGCGAAGCAUGAGCUGUGAUGGGGAAGGAAAUUAAGUACGGAAGUUCCUGAUUUCACGCUGUCAAGAAAAGCCUCUAGGAAGAGUAGUACUGCCCGUACCGCA
rnacentral:rRNA from 1 species